AUACGUAGGGGGCGAGCGUUGUCCGGAAUGAUUGGGCGUAAAGGGCGCGUAGGCGGCCCGGUAAGUCUGGAGUGAAAGUCCUGCUUUUAAGGUGGGAAUUGCUUUGGAUACUGUCGGGCUUGAGUGCAGGAGAGGUAAGUAGAAUUCCCAGUGUAGCGGUGAAAUGCGUAGAGAUUGGGAGGAACACCAGUGGCGAAGGCGACUUACUGGACUGUAACUGACGCUGAGGCGCGAAAGUGUGGGGAGCAAACAGGAUUAGAUACCCUGGUAGUCCACACUGUAAACGAUGAAUGCUAGGUGUAGGGGGUAUCGACCCCUUCUGUGCCGCAGUUAACACAAUAAGCAUUCCGCCUGGGGAGUACGGCCGCAAGGUUGAAACUCAAAGGAAUUGACGGGG
rnacentral:rRNA from 1 species